GCCCUCGUAGCUCAGCGGAAGAGCGGUGGUCUCCGAAGCCACAGGCGCUGGUUCAACUCCAGUCGAGGGUA
rnacentral:tRNA from 1 species